GCGGCAUGCUUACACAUGCAAGUCGAACGGCAGCGGGGGAGCUUGCUCCCGCCGGCGAGUGGCGAACGGGUGAGUAAUACAUCGGAACGUACCCAGUAGCGGGGGAUAGCCCGGCGAAAGCCGGAUUAAUACCGCAUACGCCCUACGGGGGAAAGGGGGGGAUCGCAAGACCUCUCACUAUUGGAGCGGCCGAUGGCUGAUUAGCUAGUUGGUGGGGUAAAAGCCUACCAAGGCGACGAUCAGUAGCUGGUCUGAGAGGACGACCAGCCACACUGGGACUGAGACACGGCCCAGACUCCUACGGGAGGCAGCAGUGGGGAAUUUUGGACAAUGGGCGAAAGCCUGAUCCAGCAAUGCCGCGUGUGCGAAGAAGGCCUUCGGGUUGUAAAGCACUUUUGUCAGGGAAGAAAUCGUUUGGGCUAACACCCCGAGCAGUUGACGGUACCUGAAGAAUAAGCACCGGCUAACUACGUGCCAGCAGCCGCGGUAAUACGUAGGGUGCAAGCGUUAAUCGGAAUUACUGGGCGUAAAGCGUGCGCAGGUGGUUUGUUAAGACAGUUGUGAAAUCCCCGGGCUCAACCUGGGAACUGCAAUUGUGACUGGCAGACUAGAGUUUGGCAGAGGGGGGUGGAAUUCCUGGUGUAGCAGUGAAAUGCGUAGAUAUCAGGAGGAACACCGAUGGCGAAGGCAGCCCCCUGGGCCAUGACUGACACUCAUGCACGAAAGCGUGGGGAGCAAACAGGAUUAGAUANCCUGGUAGUCCACGCCCUAAACGAUGUCAACUAGUUGUUGGGUCUUCAUUGACUUAGUAACGUAGCUAACGCGUGAAGUUGACCGCCUGGGGAGUACGGCCGCAAGGUUAAAACUCAAAUGAAUUGACGGAAGGGCGAAUUC
rnacentral:rRNA from 1 species